rnacentral:rRNA from 1 species
GAAUAUUGGCCCAUGGGCGAAAGCCUGAUCCACCCAUCCUGCGUGUGUGAAGAAGGUCUUCGGAUCAUAAAGCACUUUAAGUUGGGAGGAAGUGCAGUCAGCGAAUACCUUGCUGUUUUGACCUUACCGACAGAAUAAGCACCGGCUAACUCUGUGCCAGCAGCCGCGGUAAUACAGAGGGGGCAAGAGUUAACCGGAAUUACUGGGCGUAAAGCGCGCGUAGGUGGUUCGUGAAGUUGGAUGUGAAAUCCCCGGGCUCAACCUGGGAACUGCAUCCAAAACUGGCGAGCUAGAGUAGGGCAGAGGGUGGUGGAAUUUCCUGUGUAGCGGUGAAAUGCGUAGAUAUAGGAAGGAACACCAGUGGCGAAGGCUACCACCUGGGCUCAUACUGACACUGAGGUGCGAAAGCGUGGGGAGCAAACA